GGAGGGUUGUCCGAGUGGCUUAAGGAGCUGGUCUCGAAAACCAGUGUGCACGUUAGUGUACCUAGGGUUCAAAUCCCUAACCCUCCG
rnacentral:tRNA from 1 species